GCAAGUCGAGCGAGAAGGUAAAGUUUUCUUCUUCGGAAGAAGACUUAACUGGAAAGCGGCGGACGGGUGAGUAACGCGUGAGUAACCUACCCUAUACACAAGGAUAGCCAUUGGAAACGAUGAUUAAUACUUGAUAAGACUACAGAGCCGCAUGGUUCAGUGGUAAAAGCCCCGGCGGUAUAGGAUGGACUCGCGUCUGAUUAGCUAGUUGGUAAGGUAAAGGCUUACCAAGGCGACGAUCAGUAGCCGACCUGAGAGGGUGAUC
rnacentral:rRNA from 1 species